rnacentral:rRNA from 1 species
AACGAACGCUGGCGGCAGGCCUAACACAUGCAAGUCGAACGAGAAGCCACCUUCGGGUGGUGGACAGUGGCAGACGGGUGAGUAACGCGUGGGAACGUGCCUUUCGGUUCGGAAUAACCCAGGGAAACUUGGGCUAAUACCGGAUACGCCCUUCGGGGGAAAGAUUCAUCGCCGAAAGAUCGGCCCGCGUCGGAUUAGCUAGUUGGUGGGGUAAUGGCUCACCAAGGCGACGAUCCGUAGCUGGUCUGAGAGGAUGACCAGCCACACUGGGACUGAGACACGGCCCAGACUCCUACGGGAGGCAGCAGUGGGGAAUAUUGGACAAUGGGCGAAAGCCUGAUCCAGCCAUGCCGCGUGGGUGAAGAAGGCCUUAGGGUUGUAAACCCCUUUCAGCGGGGAAGAUAAUGACGGUACCCGCAGAAGAAGUCCCGGCUAACUCCGUGCCAGCAGCCGCAGUAAAAC